rnacentral:rRNA from 1 species
AUUGAACGCUGGCGGCAGGCCUAACACAUGCAAGUCGAGCGAGCGGCGGACGGGUGAGUAAUGUCUGGGAAAGUGCCUGAUGGGGGGGGAUAACUACUGGAAACGGUAGCUAAUACCGCAUACCAUCAGAUGUGCGCAGAUGGGCUUAGCUUUUAGGUGGGGUAACGGCUCACCUAGGCGACGAUCCCUAGCUGGUCUGAGAGGAUGACCAGCCACACUUGACCUUAGACACGGUCCAGACUCCUACGGAAGGCAGCAGUGGGGAAUAUUGCACAAUGGGCGCAAUCCGGAUGCAGCCACGCCUCGUGUGUGAAGAAGGCCUUCGGGUUGUAAAGCACUUCCAGCGGGGAGGCGUUUCCCGCAGUAGAGGCACCGGCUAACUCCGUGCCAGCAGCCGCGGUAAUAC